UGAACAAUCGAAUAAUCGACUAAAACAUCUCGGACUCGCCCAUUACUAAGGUUGAGACAACUAAUUUAUAUCAGUGCUUUGUUUUAUAGGACGAUAUAAAAUUUCUGCAAAGUAUAACAAUGAGUGACAAGGAACUAGCAGCAGACACAAAAGAUUGCUAUGAACCAGUGGACAAUGCGUGGACCCUAAAAGUGCCCGAGUUUAAACCUGAGGACAAUCCAAGUGGCAUGAUAGAAGAGAGCUCAUUUGCUACUCUAUUUCCUAAGUAUAGAGAAAAAUAUCUCAAGGAAGUCUGGCCACUAGUGAAACAAUGUCUCUCAGACUAUCAUUUAAAAGCGGAACUAGAUCUGGUAGAGGGUAGUAUGGUUGUGAAAACUACUCGUAAAACUUGGGAUCCUUAUAUUAUCAUCAAGGCGCGGGAUGUGAUAAAAUUGAUGGCGCGCAGCGUUCCCUUCGAGCAAGCGCGUCGUGUUUUACAAGAUGAAAUUGGCUGUGAUAUCAUUAAAAUUGGAAAUUUAGUUACAAAAAAGGAUAAGUUCGUGAAGCGCCGUCAACGCCUAAUUGGUCCCAAUGGAGCAACCCUUAAAUCAAUUGAAUUGCUUACUGAUUGCUAUAUUUUAGUGCAAGGCAAUACUGUGGCAGCCUUAGGUUCUUACAAGGGUUUGCAACAAGUGCGUGACAUUGUAAUAGAUACAAUGAAAAAUGUGCAUCCUAUUUACAAUAUCAAGGCUUUAAUGAUUAAACGUGAAUUAAUGAAAGAUCCGAAACUUGCUAACGAGGAUUGGUCGCGAUUCUUACCAAAAUGUAAAAGUAAGAAUAUUAAACGUAAACAGCCUAAGUUCAAAAAUCUAAAGAAGGAAUAUAUGCCUUUCCCAUCUCCACAAGCUGAGAGCAAAAUCGACCAACAACUCUCAACGGGAGAAUAUUUUCUCAGUAAGGAACAGAAACAAGCACGAAAACAACAAGAGCGCCAUACAAAGCAAUCUGAAUCUGCCAAAAAACAAGAGAAACGCCGCAAUGAAGAUUUUAUACCACCCAUUGAAGAUAUGCUGUCGAUAAGUCGCAAGAGUUCGCCUGAUAAACAAACUAAGGAAUUGAAUAUUAAGGCACUGAAAGCAAAGGUAGCAAAAGUCACUAAAAUUAUGAAGAAAUAAAGAUAAGAUUAGCUGCAUAUUUCUGGAUGGCCGCGUGCAUGCCUUCGAUCAGGUGUACCCAAUCGAGCGAAACUAUAACAAUAUCCUAACAAAUUUCUUGAAGGACCGGAUAUAAUACUGCUUCAUGAGCACUACAGAUAUCGCAA
rnacentral:misc_RNA from 1 species